GUGCUCACUGUGGCAGCACAUGUAUUAAAACUGGAAUGACACAGAGAAGAUUAGCAUCAUUGCUGCACAAGGAUGACAUGCAAAUUUGUGAAGUGUUCCAUAUUUUU